AUUGAACGCUGGCGGCAGGCCUAACGCAUGCAAGUCGAACGGUAGCACAGAGAGCUUGCUCUCGGGUGACGAGUGGCGGACGGGUGAGUAAUGUCUGGGAAACUGCCCGAUGGCGGGGGAUAACUACUGGAAACGGUAGCUAAUACCGCAUAACGUCGCAAGACCAAAGUGGGGGACCUUCGGGCCUCACACCAUCGGAUGUGCCCAGAUGGGAUUAGGAAGUAGGUGGGGUAAUGGCUCACCUAGGCGACGAUCCCUAGCUGGUCUGAGAGGAUGACCAGACACACUGGAACUGAGACACGGUCCAGACUCCUACGGGAAGCAGCAGUGGGGAAUAUUGCACAAUGGGCGCAAGCCUGAUGCAGCCAUGCCGCGUGUAUGAAGAAGGCCUUCGGGUUGUAAAGUACUUUCAGCGGGGAGGAAGGCGGUGGAGUUAAUAACUUCACCGAUUGACGUUACCCGCAGAAGAAGCACCGGCUAACUCCGUGCCAGCCGCCGCCGUAA
rnacentral:rRNA from 1 species